rnacentral:rRNA from 1 species
UACGUAGGGGGCGAGCGUUGUCCGAAGUUACUGGGCGUAAAGCGCACGUAGGCGGCUUUGUAAGUUACAUCUCAAAGGCAGCAGCUCAACUGCUGUAAGUGGUGUAAGACUGCAGGGCUUGAGGCAAGCAAAAGAGUGUGGAACUCCGAGUGUAGCGGUGGAAUGCGUAGAGAUUCGGAAGAACACCCAUGGCGAAGGCAGCACUCUGGGCUUGACCUGACGCUGAGGAGCGAAAGCCAGGGGAG